AUUUGAGCUUCCUUUCCGUGCGGAGGAAUUAUUGUUGUUUAAAUGCAAACUGAAUAUGGAGUAAACGCAUUCCUCGAAUUGCCGGAUAAAUGGCUACCAAAACAUUAAGUCAUGACCCUUCAAGUUGGAAGAGCUGAUUCCGACUAUGUAGCCCGAAAGAUUAUACAUAGCCGGUUGAGUAUAGAUGACAAAUUUAUCAGCAUGUUCUCCAGUGAGCCACAACUUUCGAUUCCAAAUAGCAUUCACAUCAGUAACCAGCAGAUUUGAUAUCAAAUAAAAUGUACCAUAAUAUUUCUCGUUACCUAAAUAAAGAAGUUGAAA